CUCAAUUCAUUAGGCAAGGACACUUUGUUCUCUGCUCUGGGGAGAUGGAGUGGAAAGAGGAAACUAAGUUUCUCACAGCUGUUCUCCGGGUCAUACGCUCUUAGAAUACUUGACUUUCCCUGGAGGAGAAGAUGAAGGCGAAAGAGGUGAAUGACGGAUUCCAGACCAGAGGAUGCCAGGAGUUGCUGACAUUCCAGGGUGUGGCUGUGGACUUCACCAGAGAAGAAGGGGCACAGCUGACCCAGCUCAGAAGGAUCUCUAUGGAAACGGGAUGCUGAAGAGCAACAGGAAUCUGGUUGCACUGGGUAAGCUUGGAGUUGUUGGGACAGCAGAGCCCAUUCAAAUGAGUUUAUUUCCUUAGGGCACCAGCUUUAUAAACCGGAAGUGAUCACAGAGUUGGAAGAAGGGGCGCAGUGGACACCAGAAAGCAGCAGCCAGCUGGAUGCUUUUCCAGAUGGGGUGGACAGACGGGAAAUGAAAGACAACUGUCAAGCAGAACACAUCCGAUGAAAACCAGCUCCAUGAGAUCAUAAUGGAAAGACGGAGGGGGGGGGCACUUUCUGGUUUGCUAUCUUACAAGGAUGCUGGGAUUUUGACUAUCAGAAUUGAACCAAGAAAAGCAGCAGAAACAGAAACAUUUGGAACAAGUAUCUUUCACCCACCAAAAAAUUACACAGAGGGCUGGAAAGAUGGCUCAGUGGUUAAGAGCAUUGCCUGUUCUUCCAAAGGUCCUGAGUUCAAAUCCCAGCAACCACAUGGUGGCUCACAACCAUCUGUAAUGAGGUCUGGUGCCCUCUUCUGGCCUACAGACAGAAUAUUGUAUACAUAAUAAAUAAAUAAAUAUUUUUAAAAAAUUACACAGGAGCAUGGGGUGUAAUAAAUUUGAGGAAAACUAUAAUCUGAAUUCUAACCUUACUAUGCCUCAGAGGAUUCCCUCCUGUUAAAAAAAAAAAAAGCCUCUCCGCCAUGACACGCGAGGAAACAGCAUCAGGCGGCACGCGGAUUUGACUGAUUAUCGAGGAAACUAUGUGAAUCCCUAUGAAUAUAAUGAAUGUGGAAAAAGUUUCCACCAACAUGCUUUUCUUACUAAUUGUAUUCUUCUCAGAGAGAAACACGGUGAGUGUGCAAAGGCCUCUGAGCAAAAUUCAACUCAAACCAACCUCAGGUAGCCCUGACAAAAGAAAAACCCUGUAAGUGCGACGAGAGUGGGAGAGGGUUCAUCCAGAGGCUACAUCUCACUCAGCAUCCGGGAAUCCAUACCAGGGAAAAGCCUUUCAUCCGUCAGGAACGUGGGAAGACCUUCCGUCAGCAUUCUUCCUCACACAGCACCUGAGGAUCCACACGGGAGAGAAGCCCUACAAAUGUACUCGGUGUGGCGAAGCCUUCGGCUGCAUCACGCCUCUCACUGAGCGCCAGAGACUUCGCACUGGAGAGAGAUCGUCCGACUGUAGCUUCUGCGGGAAAGCCUUCAGCCAACGGACACAUUGUAACCAUCAAUGAAAGGACGCACAUGGGAGAGAAGCCCUAUCAGUGUACUGAGUGUGGGAAAGCCUUCAGCCAGAGUGCUCACCUUAACCAACAUAGGAAGAUCCACAGCCGCGAGAAGCUAUGUGGCUGUAAGGAUGGGAACCCCUCCAGCUGAAGUCCGCCCCCUUAAUGGCACAGAGCUGUGUUGGGGGCAAAUGAACGGACAAAUGUGGAAAUUUUUUUAAUUCUUUCUUUCCAUUCAGUACCAAGUGAUUCAUGGUGGAAAGAAAGCUUCCAAGUGAGCUUUUACUAAAGCAUAGAAACCAAAUUUAUAGCUGAAGUCAGAACACUGAAACAUUCCCAGGAGGUCUUGUUAGUAGUGAACGUUAUUAAUUUUAUAAACAAAAAUAUAUUGGGCCAUAUUCUGAAUCUCCUGUAGAGCCUAAAUAAGGUGGUGUGUGGUGACCUGCCUGUAAUUCUAGCACUCCGGGGUUGUUGUUAUCACGGUUGCUAUUUUCUUUGUGAUCCUAGCACUUGGUGUGGGGGAAGGGAUUAGGAAUCCAAGGCUGCCCUCCACUGUGGAUGGAAUUCAAGGCCAAUAUGGGCUACUUGAGACCCUGUUUUAAAAAAGGAAAUUGAGUAAAAAACACAAUAAUCUAAUAAAUCUAAAAAUCUAAUAACCUAUCAUUA